CCUACGGGAGGCAGCAGUGAGGAAUAUUGGUCAAUGGGCGGAAGCCUGAACCAGCCAAGUAGCGUGCGGGAUGAAGGCCCUACGGUUCGUAAACCGCUUUUGCACGGGGAUAACACCCUCCACUUGUGGAGGUCUGCAGGUACCGUGCGAAUAAGGGCCGGCUAAUUCCGUUCCAGCAGCCGCGGUAAUACGGAAGGGCCGAGCGUUAUCCGGAUUCAUUGGGCUUAAGGGGAGCGUAGGCGGGCGUUCAAGUCGGCGGGAAAAUCGCGCGGCUCAACCGCGCCCCGCAGUUGAAACUGGAGGCCUUGAGUUCACAACAGGCAGGCGGAAUUCGUGGUGUAGCGGUGAAAUGCAUAGAUAUCACGAGGAACCCCGAUGGCGAAGGCAGCCUGCCGGGGUGCGACUGACGCUGAGGCUCGAAGGUGCGGGUAUCAAACAGGAUUAGAUACCCUUGUAGUC
rnacentral:rRNA from 1 species